rnacentral:piRNA from 1 species
UGCACACACAGCAAUGGAGUAAUGGCG